rnacentral:rRNA from 1 species
AGAGUUUGAUCCUGGCUCAGGAUGAACGCUGGCGGCGUGCUUAACACAUGCAAGUCGAACGAAGCACUUUUACAGAUUUCUUCGGAAUGAAGUUUUGGUGACUGAGUGGCGGACGGGUGAGUAACGCGUGGGUAACCUGCCUCACACAGGGGGAUAACAGUUGGAAACGGCUGCUAAUACCGCAUAAGCGCACGAGAGGACAUCCUCUUGUGUGAAAAACUCCGGUGGUACAGGAUGGGCCCGCGUCUGAUUAGCUGGUUGGCAGGGUAACGGCCUACCAAGGCGACGAUCAGUAGCCGGUCUGAGAGGAUGAACGGCCACAUUGGAACUGAGACACGGUCCAAACUCCUACGGGAGGCAGCAGUGGGGAAUAUUGCACAAUGGGGGAAACCCUGAUGCAGCAACGCCGCGUGAGUGAAGAAGUAUUUCGGUAUGUAAAGCUCUAUCAGCAGGGAAGAAAAUGACGGUACCUGACUAAGAAGC